GGGUCCCAGCAUCCGCAGUUUACCAAGCUCCCCGGGCGUUUCUGAAACACCGCCAAGGCUGAGAACCAUUCGGUGUCCGUAAAAGCAGACUAACACCACCUUUCUCAUUACGCGGAAUAAGAAACAAAGCGGAGUGGCCUCCAGGGACCUGGCAGUUCCCAUGUGCCCGGCACAUGACACCUUCUCUAGCCUCCACAGCGGUCCUAUGCAGGGCGUCACUGGUCCCAUUUUACAGAGGGGGAAGCAGGCUCAGCGAGUAGCAUUUAUUCCUGUAGCUGAUGGAAACUUGGCCCGUGGCAGGUUCAGAGGAAAGGCAAUCAGGGGAGGACGCGCUUCCUGAAGGAAAUGCUCAGAGACACAGAGAGGUUAAGCAAUCUGCUCAGAAUCACACAGCUGUUCUCGUUCAUGGGAUGGUUGCAGAGCACCGGGAACGUGCCAGGCCCUGCCCGAGAUGUGAGAAGGAGACUAAGACUCAGGCCCCUGCCUUAAGGAACCCCUGGUUCAAGGAGGCGACAGGAACAGACCCCACGUGACCUCACAUCCCCGCUGGCUUUGCAGUUCAAGCACUUUGAGCAGUUUCUCCAGUCACAUCGUCCCUCAGCGCCAUUGGAACCUGGAGCCUGAUGCUCACUUGCUGACCGAGGUUUCCACUGAGCAGCAGGACCGAGGACCAGGUCUGGCUGGGAGUCAUCACAGCCAGGAAUUGAAGACAGGAGACGGGCUGAGGAGAGGCCCGACCACCGAGAGCAUCGUUCAGAGAAAGGGGCGGGCUGAGGUCAGGGGACCCCCACAGCCUCUCCCUGGCAGCUGGGGGCAGAGGCAGAGCUCACGGCUCUACUCCCUGGGUGAGGAAAGCCCGAGGGACCUGGAGUCACCCACCAGCCAGCCUCCAGCCAUCUGUCUCCUGGGGAACAGGAGCCUGCGGCAGCAGCUGCCUUGGCUCGUUGUCCACCAGAUCCAUUCUAGCUCCCUCUCGAGCUGUAGAAUUGAAGGUGGGCGCCUAGCGGCUCAGCCAGACUAUACUUCCCGGCCUUCUUUGCGG
rnacentral:lncRNA from 1 species